rnacentral:rRNA from 1 species
CCUACGGGAGGCUGCAGUGGGGAAUAUUGGACAAUGGGGGGAACCCUGAUCCAGCCAUGCCGCGUGUGUGAAGAAGGCCCUCGGGUUGUAAAGCACUUUCAGUGAGGAAGAACGCCUGGUGGUUAAUACCCAUCAGGAAAGACAUCACUCACAGAAGAAGCACCGGCUAACUCCGUGCCAGCAGCCGCGGUAAUACGGAGGGUGCGAGCGUUAAUCGGAAUUACUGGGCGUAAAGCGCGCGUAGGUGGCUUGAUAAGCCGGUUGUGAAAGCCCCGGGCUCAACCUGGGAACGGCAUCCGGAACUGUCAAGCUAGAGUGCAGGAGAGGAAGGUAGAAUUCCCGGUGUAGCGGUGAAAUGCGUAGAGAUCGGGAGGGAUACCAGUGGCGAAGGCGGCCUUCUGGACUGACACUGACACUGAGGUGCGAAAGCGUGGGUAGCAAACAGGAUUAGAUACCCCUGUAGUC